UGAGGAACAUGACCUUCGGCGGGGGAUAGCCGGCCCAACGGCCGGGUAAUACCGCGUACGACGGUUGGGGCGCAUGCCCUGGCCGUGAAAGCAGCAAUGCGCCGAUGGAGUGCCUCGCGGCCUAUCAGCUUGUUGGCGGGGUAAUGGCCCACCAAGGCGACGACGGGUAGCUGGUCUGAGAGGAUGAUCAGCCACAUUGGGACUGAGACACGGCCCAGACUCCGUAGGAGG
rnacentral:rRNA from 1 species